UACGAAGGGGGCUAGCGUUGUUCGGAAUUACUGGGCGUAAAGCGUGCGCAGGCGGCCUUCCAAGUCAGGGGUGAAAGCCCAGAGCUCAACUCUGGAAUUGCCUUUGAGACUGUGAGGCUUGAGUACGGGAGAGGUGAGUGGAAUUCCCAGUGUAGAGGUGAAAUUCGCAGAUAUCAGGAGGAACACCAAUGGCGAAGGCAGCUCACUGGGACGUUACUGACGCUGAGACGCGAAAGCGUGGGGAGCAAACAGG
rnacentral:rRNA from 1 species